AAUAUAAGAAUCUUCACCCUGGGACAGUUGGGGAACCGAUCAUCAUGAUGCAAAGGCCUCAAUCUGUGAAUACAAAGCAGGUUCCAGGUACAAGCAUAAGCUCUUCUCCUCCUGGAACAGCUAACAGUUGGUAUUCUACUAAUAGUUUUGAUAUCGUGAAGUCCAAUGGCUCGAUGCCUCACAUUCCCACCACUAGAAGCUACAGUCCGAACAAUCUGAAUUCAAAUCAAAUGUUCCAUCAACAUCAUUUUCAGCAACAGCAACACUUCGUACCAGGCAGUAGCCCAGGAGAUUCUCCUGGAACCAACAGAGGAAAUGGCUUAUGGAAUAGAACAGUUUUACCACCUACACUUGCUGCCGCUUCAUCUCUUGGAUUCUCCGGGUUGGGUGGCUCAGCUGGUUCAUCAGGUGCCUCUUCUCCAGUUGACUGGAGCACUGCUGGCUCUAUGGCUCGGUUAGAUUACAGCAGCAUAGACUGGAGUUUGGAUCGAGGAUUGUCCUCU
rnacentral:misc_RNA from 1 species